CUCUUAUCAAGAGUUGGUGGAGGGACUGGCCCGAUGAAGCCCGGCAACCAGCAGGUUUUUCCUGCAUGGUGCCAAUUCCUGCAGGGGAAACCCUGAAAGAUAAGAC
rnacentral:ncRNA from 2 species